rnacentral:rRNA from 1 species
AGUGAACGCUGGCGGUAGGCCUAACACAUGCAAGUCGAACGGCAGCACAGUAAGAGCUUGCUCUUACGGGUGGCGAGUGGCGGACGGGUGAGGAAUACAUCGGAAUCUACUUUUUCGUGGGGGAUAACGUAGGGAAACUUACGCUAAUACCGCAUACGACCUACGGGUGAAAGCAGGGGAUCUUCGGACCUUGCGCGAUUGAAUGAGCCGAUGUCGGAUUAGCUAGUUGGCGGGGUAAAGGCCCACCAAGGCGACGAUCCGUAGCUGAUCUGAGAGGAUGAUCAGCCACACUGGAACUGAGACACGGUCCAGACUCCUACGGGAGGCAGCAGUGGGGAAUAUUGGACAAAGGGCGCAAGCCUGAUGCAGCCAUACCGCGUGGGUGAAGAAGGCCUUCGGGUUGUAAAGCCCUUUUGUUGGGAAAGAAAAGCAGCAGGUUAAUACCCCGCUGUUCUGACGGUACCCAAAGAAUAAGCACCGGCUAACUUCGUG